UCAGAAAAGUUCAAGAGACUCCGCAGGAUCCCAGGAGAGUGAGAAUGCUGGAAUGAUGUGCAACCUUCUGUGCUGCAGAGGGCGAAAACUGCAGGAGCUUCUCAGAGAGGAAUACUGGGAGAUGUCAAGCAAGGUUGGAGAUUGGAAAGGACCUAAGUAUUAUGUGAAGCACAGGAGUUACCCAAUAAAUAUCCAUUGGAUUGCUGGCUGUGGAGAUGAGCAUCAGGAUGACAUGGCCUUGAGCUGGGAAGGGACACCAAGGGAGCAAUGCUGGGAGAAGGAGAAAGAUACAAAGAAGAGAUUGUUGCAUUUGGACGAUGAUGAGAAACUUGCCUUUAUUGACCACUUCAGAGAACAAGACAUAAUAUGGACGAAUACAUCAGAACCAGACUAUCAAAAAUUUGAAAACUAGAUCAUGGAGAUUACCUGCGAUGUUGAAAAUUUGUUGAAAUGACUAAAAGGACUUUAUUCUCUUUGUUGAAAAACAUUGCUUUAGGAGGUAAAAUUACUCAACAUCACCUUAUUCUAAGAUACUUAUUAGUUCACCCUUUAGUACAGCAAUAGGUUAACUUAUUAUUUUUUUUAAUUCACUUAACUGAGCUCUUACGGGAUUAAAUUACUUAAGAAAUUACAAACAAACAAACAGAAAAACUACUCUAAAAUGAAAGAUGUUGGCUGGGUACGGUGGCUCACACCUGUAAUCCCAGCACUUUCGGAGGCCGAGGCAGGUGGAUCACGAGGUAAUGAGAUCGAAACCAUCCUGGCCAACAUGGUGAAAUGACAGCUCUACUAAAACACAAAAAUUAGCCAGACGUGGUGGCACACCCCUGUUAUCCCAGCUACUCGGGAAGCUGAGGCAGGGGAAUCACUUGAAUCUGGCAGGCAGAGGUUGCAGUGAGCCGACACUGCGCCACUGCACUUCCGCCUGGCGACAGAGCAAGACUCCAUCUCAAUUAAAUCAAAUAAAAGGAAAGAUGCCAUAUUUAAACAAAAUGAAAUUGUCAAUAACAAAAGCCAGACACAAAUUAGUACAGUUGUAUACGAUUCCAUUUACUCAAAGUAUAGAAACAUGAGAACACGCUAAUCUGUCCUAAUUGCUGUUAGAAGUCAGGACAGCAUUACACUUGGGUCAGGUGGGGAACGGAAUAAACCAGGACAGGAUCUUCUGGGGUACUGGAAUAUUUUCUUUUUUCUGUGAUUUGAGUGCUAGCUACACAGUGGUGCUCAGAUAGUAAAAGUUCAUCGAGCUGUACAUUUUUCUGAAUAUAUGUUACUCUAAUAAAAACAUUUUAAAAUUAUAAAUGUGAGACUGAGAGAAAACAUUUGAAAAUAAUGUAUAAAACACAACAAGUUUACCAUAUUUAAUGUAAAAAGAUCUUCAACAAAUUCAUUCAAAAAAGACAACCCAGGAGAAAAGUUAACAAAGAACAUGAACAUACAAUGCACAGAGGCACAUAAAUGCAGAUAAACAUGUGUUUAAAAUGUCUUUAAGCAUGUUGAUCUGGAAACUGCAAAUUCAAAUAAAAACUAACCACCAUUUUCAUCUAACAGACAAGCAAACAUUAAGAAGAGGUGAAAUACCAUAAGGAGCAGCCUUUACUGAGUACGUACUAUGUGUCGCAACACGCUUUUACAUUGUUAUCUUUUUCUCAUUUAACUUUUGAUCUAACUUUCCUGUCCAUUUUAUAGAAAGUAUUAGUAAUUCUUCUCACAUUGUAGGUGACAAAUCCAGGCUUCAAAUCAGGCAGUCUGACCCCAAAACUCAUUAUUUUACUACCGUUUUCUAUUGCUUCUCUGUGUGAAUUCUGCAUGUUAGUCAUGGCCAUUCCUCCUGCUUCUCUACAGGAACUGACCAACUCACAAACCAGUUACAGGAGUAGGGUAGAAAUUUAAAAAUAUAUUUCUUCUAUUAUGGUGGUUAGUAAAAUUGCUACAUGAGUACUUUUCCUCGUCAGGGAGCUGAACACAAUUAUCCUAAAGCUAACCUAAAGACAGUCUUCCCAUGCUCUUAAAAAAAAAAAAAAACUAUUAACCUCUUAA
ensembl:lncRNA